rnacentral:rRNA from 1 species
UACGGGGGGGGCAAGCGUUGUUCGGAAUUACUGGGCGUAAAGGGCUCGUAGGCGGCCAACUAAGUCAGACGUGAAAUCCCUCGGCUUAACCGGGGAACUGCGUCUGAUACUGGAUGGCUGGAGUUUGGGAGAGGGAUGCGGAAUUCCAGGUGUAGCGGUGAAAUGCGUAGAUAUCUGGAAGAACACCAGUGGCGAAGGCGGCUCACUGGCCCGAUACUGACGCUGAGGUGCGAAAGCGUGGGGAGCAAACAGG